rnacentral:rRNA from 1 species
UACGUAGGGGGCUAGCGUUGUCCGGAAUCAUUGGGCGUAAAGCGCGUGUAGGCGGUCCGGUAAGUCCGCUGGUGAAAGUCGGGGGCUCAACCCUCGAAUGCCGGUGGAUACUGUCGGGCUAGAGUGCGGAAGAGGCGAGUGGAAUUCCGUGGUGUAGCGGUGAAAUGCGCAGAUAUCAGGAGGAACACCAAUUGCGAAGGCAGCUCGCUGGGACGUAACUGACGCUGGAGAACGCGAAAGCCGUGGGGAGCAAACAGGAUUAGUACCC